CUCUAAUUUAUGCUUUCAACUUUAAAGUAAAUCCAUACCCCCUAACAGCAGCAUCCAGUGAAGCAGGAAGUCAAAGGGUGGGCCACUGCCACAAAUCAUGUGACCAGAACUGCCAAAAGGGGCGAACAUGCCCAAAAAGGAGGCAUGUCUGUCCAAAGAAUUGGAAGGCCAGCCUGGCAUCAGUGUCCCUAUAUAUCAAAG